rnacentral:rRNA from 1 species
UUGACCUCGGAUCAGGUAGGAUUACCCGCUGAACUUAAGCAUAUCAAUAAGCGGAGGAAAAGAAACCAACAGGGAUUGCCCCAGUAACGGCGAGUGAAGC